UUCCAGACUCCUACGGGAGGCAGCAGUGAGGAAUAUUGGUCAAUGGGCGAGAGCCUGAACCAGCCAAGUCGCGUGAGGGAAGACGGUCCUAUGGAUUGUAAACCUCUUUUGUCGGGGAGCAAAAAGGCCUCGUGAGGCCACAAGUGAGAGUACCCGAAGAAAAAGCAUCGGCUAACUCCGUGCCAGCAGCCGCGGUAAUACGGAGGAUGCGAGCGUUAUCCGGAUUUAUUGGGUUUAAAGGGUGCGUAGGCGGACUGGAAAGUCAGCGGUAAAAUCGAGAGGCUCAACCUCUUUCCGCCGUUGAAACUGGCAGUCUCGAGUUGGAGAGAAGUAUGCGGAAUGCGCGGUGUAGCGGUGAAAUGCAUAGAUAUCGCGCAGAACUCCGAUUGCGAAGGCAGCAUGCCGGCUCCACACUGACGCUGAGGCACGAAAGCGUGGGUAUCGAACAGGAUUAGAUACCCCCGUAA
rnacentral:rRNA from 1 species